rnacentral:rRNA from 1 species
UACAGAGGUCCCAAGCGUUGUUCGGAUUCAUUGGGCGUAAAGGGUGCGUAGGCGGCGCGGUAAGUCGGGUGUGAAAUCUCGGGGCUUAACUCCGAAACUGCAUUCGAUACUGCCGUGCUUGAGGACUGGAGAGGAGACUGGAAUUUACGGUGUAGCGGUGAAAUGCGUAGAGUAUCGAUAAGGAAGACCAGUGGCGAAGGCGGGUCUCGUGGACAGUUCCUGACGCUGAGGCACGAAGGUCAGGGGAGCAAACGGG